rnacentral:rRNA from 1 species
UACGUAGGAGACGAGCGUUGUCCGGAGUUACUGGGCGUAAAGGGUGCGUAGGCGGGUCUUUUAAGUCAGGGGUGAAAUCCUGGAGCUCAACUCCAGAACUGCCUUUGAUACUGGGGAUCUUGAGUCCGGGAGAGGUGAGUGGAACUGCGAGUGUAGAGGUGAAAUUCGUAGAUAUUCGCAAGAACACCAGUGGCGAAGGCGGCUCACUGGCCCGGUACUGACGCUGAGGUGCGAAAGCGUGGGGAGCAAACAGG